AUGUUUCCAGGACUUUGGGGACCUAGCGAACGAUCUGUUCGACGUUUCUGUACAGACAGAGGCAUAAGUCGACGUUGUUCUCUGACUAAAGAGGAACUAGAACGCUGCGUGUCUGACGCCGUAAGCGAGGUCGGACCAUCUUGCAUCUUCAGAUCGUCAAAAAGCAAGAAGAUGGCAACGGCUACACAAUAAACUGCAGAGAAGAUCUUCAGCUUUAGAGAUGUCCACAACUUUGAACGACGAACAAAAGAAGACGUACGCUA